GCCGCGAACCGCAGUUGUUUGCAGCAGCCGGCUCCUCCGCGCACCCCACUCUCGUCGGUAGGGUGUCCAAACGCCGGAACACGGCUCGCGGUAGAACACCGUUUCACUGUUUUGUUUGCAAAGAAGGUGGCCCAUCAAACUCAUUUCUUUGAUUUGCCACGCAGCCGCGUGCAUUCGUUGAUAUGUGCCUGUGUGGGCAUAUGUGUAUGUGAGCGUCGUGUUUGAUGUGAUCACACUCUGUUACUUUUGAAAAGGCCGUGUAACGUCUCCUCUCGUGUCUGUGUGCGUGUGAGCACACCUUUCUCAGGCUCCCCUUGCGCAGUCUCCGUGAGGCAGUGGAAUAUCUAUGCCUGGUGUCACAGCGACCAGUGCACCCCCUUCCCCGACUCUGUGUACGGGAAGAAGCCAAGCAGCCCCUCCUCCAUCCCCUGCCAAUGCAGCGCUGCACUUCCUCUGGUGCUGACAGGGUCCACGUGCCCACGACGUAGGGAAUCCAGUGCGCUGCAUCGCGACGGAUGUCGGCGGUGUGUCAGGUCCUGGAUGGCGUUGCGUCGGAGCGGCCUGCGGCAGUGCCGACGCGUCUGCGCGGCUCCAGCGCAUCCGUCACCCGGCCCUCACCACCGCCUGCUGGUGUGGGGAGCCUGAGCGCCACCCCCUCCCUCUCCGAGGAGGGAUGCCGCAGGUGGCGGCCGGCAUGAUGGGAGCGGCUGUGAGGCGGCCUGCGAGGCAGCGGGGGGGGCGGGAGGAGGUCGGUGGAGCUUGAGGCAGGGGGGCCGUGCUCUCGGAUGGCUGAGUCGGCGCGUUGCCGCAAAGCGUGUGUGCCGCGCUGCGUCGCAGGACUCGGUGAGGCCUGUGGCCGGCCAGAGGGCGUGUGUGUGUGUGUGUGUGUGGAGUGGCGUUGACGUCAUGGCUGGUGGCAGAGAAAAAGAUGCGUUUUCGUCACCGAUAAAACGGUACACUCCCGCACAUUCUUGGGCACCCUCUCGGUUAUCCGCGUUCUGUUUUUCUGUGAUUGCGCGUACGCGUGUCUAUGUGGCAAAG
rnacentral:misc_RNA from 1 species